UACUCCCAAAUGUCAAAAACUUUUUAAUUUUUAAGUUAACCAAGCAAGAAAUUUAUACUUAUAAAUUGUCUAAUUAAGUUUUUGUUUAUUACAUCCAAAGUCGAAAAAUAUGGCUCAAAUUUUUACGCUGUUAAUUAUUCUUUCGCUAUUUCUUGUGUUAAUUAAUGGAUGUAAGUAAUUUUUUAAACACUCUUUAUGUUAUACACAACAUUUCAUUUCAUUUUGCUAAAUUUUUAUUAUUAUUGUUUGACUUUGCAGUUGAACCAUGCACAACAAAACGUGAUUGUCCAGGAAAUAUGUGUAUCCCUCCAGUGCUUCCGGAGUGCGCUAGAUCCAUAUGUCAGUGCUUCUAUGGGAGACAUGGGAAAAAUAAACCGUGAUAUGAAAACUAAAUAUAUAAUUAUAUUGUGUAUAAUUUAUACAUCAUUAUCUUAUUAUCUUAUACAACUAUUGUUAGCUUCAUUGUUAAUAAAAGAUAAAAAAAAAAAAANNN
rnacentral:lncRNA from 1 species